rnacentral:misc_RNA from 1 species
UCUCAUCCUCAUUUUUGCUGAAGCAUUGGCAUUAUAUGGACUUAUCGUUGGCAUUAUCUUAUCCUCUCGAGCUGGUCAGUCUAGGGCGGAUUAAGCAGGGAUAUUAGGACCUAGUGUUAUUCUUUUAUGGCUUAGUGGUGUGACUGCAGCAGAAAGGAUUAAAUGAUUGUUCACUGAUUAUUGAUAGUGAGGAACCGCUUGCAAUGUUCUGAAAUUACGGAAGUGUCUGUGUUGCCAGGCACUUAGUGGUUUCUUUGUGCUGUUUGCAGAAGUAGGAUCGAGUCUCUCUUCAGAAUAAAAGCUGGUGAAGCUGUAGUAUGUUCGCUUUUU